ACUAAUUGCAGUCAUGAUUUUCCGCGCUCAACUUUAAUCGUCCGUCUUAUUUAAAUUUUUUUUAUAAUUAGCAUUUUUGUUGUUAUGAGAUGAUAAAAUAUAAAUAGUACUUUACUCGUGACUUAUGUUUUUAAUUUUUUUCAAAAGAAUUUCAAAUAAAACGAAUGGUUAAAAUUGAACACGGAAAAUCAUGACUGUAUUUAUU
rfam:Oryza barthii chromosome 4, whole genome shotgun sequence.